CCUACGGGUGGCAGCAGUGAGGAAUAUUGGUCAAUGGACGAGAGUCUGAACCAGCCAAGUAGCGUGAAGGAUGACUGCCCUAUGGGUUGUAAACUUCUUUUAUAUGGGAAUAAAUUGUUCUACGUGUGGGAUUUUGUAUGUACCAUAUGAAUAAGGAUUGGAUAACUUCGUGCCAGCAGCCGCGGUAAUUCGGAGGAUCCGAGCGUUACUCGGAUUUAUUGGGUUUAAAGGGAGCGUAGGUGGGUUGUUAAGUCAGUUGGGAAAGUUUGCGGCUCAACCGUAAAAUUGCAGUUGAAACUGGCAGGCUUGAGUGGAGUAGAGGUGGGCGGAAUUCGAGGUGUAGCGGUGAAAUGCAUAGAUAUCACGAAGAACUCCGAUUGCGAAGGCAGCUCACUGGACUGCAACUGACGCUGAGGCGCGAAAGUGUGGGUAGCAAACAGGAUUAGAUACCCGAGUAGUC
rnacentral:rRNA from 1 species